AUCUGCUUAGGGUCAACCAUUCUCAGGAAGGUUAGUUUUAACAUCUGCUUUAGGUCAACCAUGCUCAGGAAGGUUAGUUUUAACAUCUGCUUAGGGUCAACCAUGCUCAGGAAGGGUAGUUUUAAACAUCUGCUUAGGGCAACCAUGCUCAGGAGAAUUAGUUUAAACAUCUGCUUUAGGGUCAACCAUGCUCAGGAAGGUUAGUUUUAACAUCUGCUUAGGGUCAACCAUGCUCAGGAAGGUUAGUUUAAACAUCUGCUUAGGGUCAACCAUGCUCAGGAAGGUUAGUUUAAACAUCUGCUUUAGGGUCAACCAUGCUCAGGAAGGUUAGUUUAAACAUCUGCUUUAAGGGUCAACCAUGCUCAGGAAGGUUAGUUUAACAUCUCCUUUAGGGUCAACCAUGCUCAGGAAGGUUAGUUUAAACAUCUGCUUUAGGGUCAACCAUGCUCAGGAUGGUCGGGGCAUGGUACUUACCCUUUCUGUUGCACAUAAUAUAUUGCACAUAAUAUAUCACACACCUCUUAGAAACAAUCCCCUUCUCACACGCGUAUUUGCAAACAUACUAUACACCACAGCAGGUAAAGUACCCCAAAGUUAUCUUGUUACGAGAAUGGAGUUACUGUGUUGCUGACGCAGAGUAUUUACUUCUGGUGGUAGUCACAGGGGAAAACAUUGCUGACUGAGGAAUUCCGGUGUUUGUUUAUUUGGGAAGUGAAUGUGUGACUGUAAAUGUGACAUUUGUUAUGUAAAGACUGAAAUAAGAACAAAGCAGAAUAGAUACAUAUAAACUAAUAUUAUA